GGCCAGACUCCUACGGGAGGCAGCAGUAAGGGAUAUUGGUCAAUGGGGGAAACCCUGAACCAGCAACGCCGCGUGAGGGAAGACGGUUUUCGGAUUGUAAACCUCUGUCCUCUGUGAAGAUGAUGACGGUAGCAGAGGAGGAAGCUCCGGCUAACUACGUGCCAGCAGCCGCGGUAAUACGUAGGGGGCAAGCGUUAUCCGGAUUUACUGGGUGUAAAGGGAGCGUAGACGGCACUGCAAGUCCGGAGUGAAAGCCCAAGGCUUAACCAUGGGACUGCUCUGGAAACUGUGGAGCUUGAGUGCGGGAGGGGCAGGCGGAAUUCCUAGUGUAGCGGUGAAAUGCGUAGAUAUUAGGAGGAACACCGGCGGCGAAGGCGGCCUGCUGGACCGUAACUGACGUUGAGGCUCGAAAGCGUGGGGAGCAAACAGGAUUAGAUACCCGCGUAU
rnacentral:rRNA from 1 species